UCAAGUGAAAGUACUGAGAAGAACAGAAAACAAUACUGUAUGUUAUAUUCAGGAGCUGAAGCACAUUUAUUGUGACAUUUGAUGAUAGUGUAAUAAUGCGCCUUGGUACUAUAUUAUUUGGUGUGCCAUUCUUAGAUCUUUUGUUGCCAUAACGACAGAAUAUGUGUGUGUGUAUUUAGUAGAAAGACAAUCCUUUUUUUCCCAGUCAAUUUUUUCUUUGAUCUACAGAACUUGCUUCUUUUCUCUGAAGUUGUUCACAAUACAGCAUGAUAGAAGGAGCACAGUUUCAAUUAACUGUCCAAAUCCAACCAAAUCUGGUAGAGACAACAACUAGUAAUAGUGUUAUCAAAGGACUCAAACAGGUAUGUGUGUUUAGACAUGUGGAUAUAUUCUGUUCUGCUUAUUUAUCAGAGUUAGUUCAUGAAGCCAUUUGAAAAAAGUUGCUCACCCACUUACCAGUGAAAUUCUGUGUGACAGUUUUUUUUUUUUAGAUAUUCCCGUUCAUUCGAGACACUUAGGCCUUUUCUUGCAUUCCACAUUUUUCAGUGAGUGUGCCAGCUUGUCCUCUAUUCUCUGAACUCACCCAGUUCAAGUCUUGUUUUUAAAAAUUUUAUUGAUUAUACUCUUUUCGAAGAAAAUGUCAUAAAUUCUAUGUAAAAAUAAAUAUGCAGUAGUUACUAUCCA
rnacentral:lncRNA from 13 species